rnacentral:rRNA from 1 species
CGAUGGAGUGGCGGACGGGUGAGUAACGCGUGGGCAACCUGGCCUGUACAGGGGGAUAACACUUAGAAAUAGGUGCUAAUACCGCAUAACGGGGGAAGCCGCAUGGCUUUUCCCUGAAAACUCCGGUGGUACAGGAUGGGCCCGCGUCUGAUUAGCCAGUUGGCAGGGUAACGGCCUACCAAAGCGACGAUCAGUAGCCGGCCUGAGAGGGCGGACGGCCACACUGGGACUGAGACACGGCCCAGACUCCUACGGAAGGCAGCAG